rnacentral:lncRNA from 1 species
GGAUUCGCAAUUCGCGAGCGGAGCCGACCGCUUCCGACUGCGGCGGAUCCAGGCUGGGGCCAGCGCGGCGUCCCCGCCAGACAACCGCUGCCUGCCUAUUGGGCUCGGCUCAGGUGGUUUUAUCUGUUUCUAAUGUAUUCUGGGUACGGCGGCGUCCUGAUCAGAAUCUUAGAGAAAGGCGAGGGAAGGAAAUGCACUCCCUGCUCCACCCCUUUGCAGACCUCAAUAAUAGGACAGAAAUGUGGACAAGGUCAAGGCAGAUCCAGUAACACUGACAUCCAUGCUUGGGGGAUUUCACUUGGUUCUGAAGAGAAUGCCCCAGGGCCUUGGAGCCCAGUCCCCGGAGCAGAAGACUGAAGCACAUAGGAAAAUGGAAGACAGAAGAGAGGAACGGACAGGGCAGAGUUAGCGCUCCCACCGAGUGACUCCAAAGGAUUCCUAGAAAAGAUGCAGCUUUCAAAGGCGACUGCAGUGAGGAGUAUCUGUGAACAAUUUCAAGAAUCACUUCUGAAGAAAUACCAGUACAGAAAUUAUUAUGAUUUGCAAUCACACCUGUGUGUACUGAACAACAUGACCUGUGAAAUCCUGCAGUAUAUUAUAGAAGAAGCACAUAAGGAGUGAUAUGGCACAUUCUCAAUUGAGGAUAACUUAUGAAAAACAUUUUAUCCAUUGGACACCUCUUCUUUUUUUUUUGAUAAUUUUCAUACAGUCUUAAUCUAGGUUAUCCAUUUCAGUCAUGUAGUUUGAGAGCAUAAAUAUAGCAAUCACAAAACCAAAAGUAUGUUCAAUACUUUGAAAUUAUUAUUGCUAAUUUUCUUGAUCAUUUUCUAAAUAAUGGAUAAUUAAAUAUUUUCAAGUAUCCACUAUACUUUGUACAAAACUGUACAAAAACAGUGAAAUAUAAUCCUUUGCAUAUACACUCACAUAUACACACUCAUAUUUAUAAAUAUCAAAUGGCAAUGAAUGAUGAAAUAUAAAAACACAAGGACAAAGUCCAUUCCUUUGAUAAAAUAGUAUUUCCAAUUUUACAAUGUAUUCCAGCUACCUGUGGUCAUGUACACCUGUAAUCCCAGUACUCAGAAGGCUGAGGCAGGAAGCUCACCAUGAGUUCAAGGGGAGCAUGGGCUACAUAGUGAGUUCAAGGCCAGCCUGAACUACAUAACAAGACCCUACCUUAAAAACAUAUUCAAAUCAAAUCAAAUGCAUUCCAUAGUGGUUUUACUAAUAUACAUUUCCACCUACAGUGUAGCAGGGUUCUUUUGUCCCCACAGCUUUGCCAGUACCAACUAUUUGUUAUUGAUUGUUUGAUGAUAGCCGUUCUUUCAGGAGUGAAAUGAAAUCUCAGUGUUGUCAUUUGCAUUUCUCUAAUGAUCAGUGAUGUUGAACAUUUAUGCGUUUUAUUGGCCAUUUAUGCUUCAUGUAAGAAGUGUCUAUUCAUUUCAGAUGUCCAUCUUUUGAUUGGGUCUUUUAUUUUGGGGGCUCUAAUUUUUUUGAGUUCUUUAUAUGUUAUAAAUGGAGAACUAAAAAAAAAAAACUAAAGUAGAAAUUCCAUCUGAUCCAGCUAUGUGUCUUCUCACAAGAGUGAAAGAUGUCAUAUUGCAGUGAUAUGCAUUAAUAUGUUUAUAGCAGCACAAAUUAUAAUAGCUAAAUCUUGAAUGUUAUAUGUUCAUGAACAGAUGAAUGGUUAAAAACGAUGUGAUAUUUAUAUACAUAAUGAAGUAAUUUUCUGCCAUGAAGAAGGAUAAAACUUGAGUAAUUUGUAGGAAAAUGGAUGCACUUUGAGACCAUAAUGUUAACCAAAAUGAAUCAGACACACAAGCUUAGAUAUUGCAUGAUUUCUCUUAUAUGUGA